rnacentral:rRNA from 1 species
GUGGGGAAUAUUGGGCAAUGGGCGCAAGCCUGACCCAGCAACGCCGCGUGAAGGAAGAAGGCUUUCGGGUUGUAAACUUCUUUUACCAGGGACGAAACAAAUGACGGUACCUGGUGAAUAAGCCACGGCUAACUACGUGCCAGCAGCCGCGGUAAUACGUAGGGGGCGAGCGUUGCUCGGAUUGACUGGGCGUAAAGCGCGCGUAGGCGGUCCAUUAAGUGUGCGGUGAAAUUCGGAGGCUCAACCUCCGUCCCGCCGCGCAAACUGAUGGUCUUGAGAUUGGGAGGGGGAUGCGGAAUUCCUGGUGUAGCGGUGAAAUGCAUUGCUAUCAGGAGGAACACCGGCGGCGAAAGCGGCAUCCUGGCUUAUAUCUGACGCUGAGGCGCGAAAGCGUGGGUAGCAAACGGGAUUAGAAACCCGAGUAGUCC